rnacentral:rRNA from 1 species
ACAUGCCUAUAGCAUAGCACUAAUGCAUUAGAUCCCAUUAGAACUCCACAAUUAAGUGCGCUCAAGCUAGAGUAGUACUGAAAUAGGUGUCUUCUCGGGAAGUCUUAGUGUUUUACAUGCC